CAAUAGCGUAUAUUAAAGUUGUUGCAGUUAAAAAGCUCGUAGUUGGACUUCUGGGUUGUGAUUGUGGUCCGCCUAACGGUGUGCACUGUGGUUGCGACUCUUCUUCCCGUAGUUUGGGGGUGCACUUAGUUGUGUGCUUUUGGAAUAUGGGACCUUUACUUUGAAAAAAUUAGAGUGUUCAAAGCAGGCCUUCGCUUGAAUACAUUAGCAUGGAAUAAUAGAAUAGGACUUUGGUUCUAUUUUGUUGGUUUCUUGAACCGAAGUAAUGAUUAAGAGGGACAGUUGGGGGCAUUCGUAUUUCGUUGUCAGAGGUGAAAUUCUUGGAUUUACGAAAGACGAACAACUGCGAAAGCAUUUGCCAAGAAUGUUUUCAUUAAUCAAGAACGAAAGUUAGAGGCUCGAAGACGAUCAGAUACCA
rnacentral:rRNA from 1 species